rnacentral:rRNA from 1 species
UACGUACUGUGCGAACGUUAUUCGGAAUCACUGGGCUUAAAGGGUGUGUAGGCGGCUAGCUAAGUAGGGUGUGAAAGGCCUUGGCCUAACCAAGGCAUUGCGCUCUAAACUGACUGGCUUGAGUAAGAUAGGGGUGUGCGGAACUUCCAGUGGAGCGGUGAAAUGUGUUGAUAUUGGAAGGAACGCCGGUGGCGAAAGCGGCACACUGGGUCUUUACUGACGCUGAGACACGAAAGCCAGGGUAGCGAACGGG